rnacentral:snRNA from 10 species
AGACAGGAGGUAAGUAUGGCUAUGACAUUUCACCCUAGUGCUCACCAGGGUUGACCUGGUUGAGCUGAAUGGACACGGGGAUGUCCCUGUCCUCUCUCUUUACUCCUCGAGUGUCCCUUCCAUUCUUUCUGUCAAAUAGGAUGGUCCCAGAUGAACAAAGACAUUCUAGCCAAGGAGUUUCAGAAACUUUCCAUCACUGAUGAGCCCUCCAAACAAGCUCUCCAGACCCAACACUUAGUAGGUUCUCAGUCAAUAUCUGCUAAAUAUUUUAAUGAACCAAUGAUCACCACAAUUGUUUCUCUGA